rnacentral:misc_RNA from 1 species
GCAAACUUGGUCAUUUAGAGGAAGUAAAAGUCGUAACAAGGUCUCCGUAGGUGAACCUGCGGAGGGAUCAUUAUAGAGUUAUUCAACUCCUAAACCCACUGUGAACUUAUUUGUCUUUUAUGUUCCUUUGGCAGGCGGCCCCUGGGAGGGGCUUAUUGAGCCGGCUGCGGCGCCUGCCAAGGGGAUGCAAAAUUCUAGUAUUUUAGCUGUCUGAGUCGCUAUAAAUAAAGUCAAAACUUUCAACAACGGAUCUCUUGGUUCUGGCAUCGAUGAAGAACGCAGC